GACGAACGCUGGCGGCGUGCUUAACACAUGCAAGUCGAACGGAAAGGCCCUGCUUUUGUGGGGUGCUCGAGUGGCGAACGGGUGAGUAACACGUGAGUAACCUGCCCUUGACUUUGGGAUAACUUCAGGAAACUGGGGCUAAUACCGGAUAGGAGCUCCUGCUGCAUGGUGGGGGUUGGAAAUUUUCGGCGGUUGGGGAUGGAUGCGCGGCUUAUCAGCUUGUUGGUGGGGUAGUGGCUUACCAAGGCUUUGACGGGUAGCCGGCAUGGGAGGGUGGCCGGGGACAAGAGGACUGAGAGAGGGACCAGACUGCUACGGGAGGCAGCAGGGGGGAAUAUGGCACAAUGGUCCGGAGUGGGAGGCGACAACGCCGCGUGCGGGAUGACGGCCUGCGGGGUGUAAACCGCUUUCGCCUGUGACGAAGCGGGAGUGACGGUAAUGGGUAAAGAAGCACCGGCUAACUACGUG
rnacentral:rRNA from 1 species